AGAGUAUCCCAAGUAGCACGGGGCCCGAGAAAUCCCGUGUGAAUCUGUCAGGACCACCUGAUAAGCCUAAAUACUCCCAGAUGACCGAUAGCGGACAAGUACCGUGAGGGAAAGGUGAAAAGUACCCCGGGAGGGGAGUGAAAUAGUACCUGAAACCGUUUGCUUACAAACCGUUGGAGCACCCCUGGUAGGUGUGACAGCGUGCCUUUUGAAGAAUGAGCCUGCGAGUUAGCGAUAUGUGGCGAGGUUAACCCGUGUGGGGUAGCCGUAGCGAAAGCGAGUCUGAAUAGGGCGAUUCAGUCGCAUGUCCUAGACCCGAAGCGAAGUGAUCUAUCCAUGGCCAGGCUGAAGCGACGGUAAGACGUCGUGGAGGGCCGAACCCACUUAGGUUGAAAACUGAGGGGAUGAGCUGUGGAUAGGGGUGAAAGGCCAAUCAAACUUCGUGAUAGCUGGUUCUCUCCGAAAUGCAUUUAGGUGCAGCGUUGCGUGUUUCUUGCCGGAGGUAGAGCUACUGGAUGGCCGAUGGGCCCUACAAGGUUACUGACGUCAGCCAAACUCCGAAUGCCGGUAAGUGAGAGCGCAGCAGUGAGACUGUGGGGGAUAAGCUUCAUAGUCGAGAGGGAAACAACCCAGACCACCAACUAAGGUCCCAAAGCGCGUGCUAAGUGGGAAAGGAUGUGGAGUUGCUGUGACAACCAGGAGGUUGGCUUAGAAGCAGCCACCCUUGAAAGAGUGCGUAAUAGCUCACUGGUCAAGUGAUUCCGCGCCGACAAUGUAACGGGGCUCAAGCACGCCACCGAAGUUGUGGCAUUGACAUUAUUGGUAGGCCUUCGUGGUCCAGCCGUGUUGAUGGGUAGGAGAGCGUCGUGUGGCCAGCGAAGCGGCGGUGUGAACCAGCCGUGGAGGCUACACGAGUGAGAAUGCAGGCAUGAGUAGCGAAAGACGUGUGAGAAACACGUCCUCCGAAAGACCAAGGGUUCCAGGGUCAAGCUAAUCUUCCCUGGGUAAGUCGGGACCUAAGGCGAGGCCGACAGGCGUAGUCGAUGGACAACGGGUUGAUAUUCCCGUACCGGCGAAGAACCGCCCCAGCUAAUCCAGUAGUGCUAAGAGUCCUAACCCGGCUGAGUGGAUCCCUUCGGGGUGAAGCCGGCCGGUCUAACGCUCGAACCCGUUCUGGUGCGGCUAGCGUAUUAACAGGUGUGACGCAGGAAGGUAGCCCAACCCGGGCGAUGGUUGUCCCGGGGCAAGUGCGUAGGCCGAGAGAUAGGCAAAUCCGUCUCUCAUUCAGGCUGAGACACGAUGCGGAUAAAAAGUGGGUGAUCCUAUGCUGCCAAGAAAAGCAUCGACGCGAGGUUCUAGCUGCCCGUACCCCAAACCGACUCAGGUGGUCAGGUAGAGAAUACCAAGGAGAUCGAGAGAAUCGUGGUUAAGGAACUCGGCAAAAUGCCCCCGUAACUUCGGGAGAAGGGGGGCCAUCCACUUAUACGGACUUGCUCCGGAAAGGGUGUGGUGGCCGCAGAGACUAGUGGGUAGCGACUGUUUACUAAAAACACAGGUCCGUGCCAAGUCGCAAGACGAUGUAUACGGACUGACGCCUGCCCGGUGCUGGAAGGUUAAGAGGACCGGUUAGCCGCAAGGCGAAGCUGAGAAUUUAAGCCCCAGUAAACGGCGGUGGUAACUAUAACCAUCCUAAGGUAGCGAAAUUCCUUGUCGGGUAAGUUCCGACCUGCACGAAUGGCGUAACGACUUCCCAACUGUCUCAACCGCGAACUCGGCGAAAUUGCAUUACGAGUAAAGAUGCUCGUUACGCGCAGCAGGACGGAAAGACCCCGUGACCUUUACUACAGCUUGGUAUUGGUGUUCGGUGUGGCUUGUGUAGGAUAGGUGGGAGACUGUGAAGCGGUGACGCCAGUUACCGUGGAGUCGUUGUUGAAAUACCACUCUGGUCACUCUGGAUAUCUAACUUCGAACCGUAAUCCGGUUCAGGGACAGUGCCUGGUGGGUAGUUUAACUGGGGCGGUUGCCUCCCAAAAAGUAACGGAGGCGCCCAAAGGUUCCCUCAACCUGGUUGGCAAUCAGGUGGCGAGUGUAAGUGCACAAGGGAGCUUGACUGUGAGACUGACAGGUCGAGCAGGGACGAAAGUCGGGACUAGUGAUCCGGCAGUGGCUUGUGGAAGCGCUGUCGCUCAACGGAUAAAAGGUACCUCGGGGAUAACAGGCUGAUCUUGCCCAAGAGUCCAUAUCGACGGCAUGGUUUGGCACCUCGAUGUCGGCUCGUCGCAUCCUGGGGCUGGAGUAGGUCCCAAGGGUUGGGCUGUUCGCCCAUUAAAGCGGUACGCGAGCUGGGUUUAGAACGUCGUGAGACAGUUCGGUCCCUAUCCGCUGCGCGCGUAGGAA
rnacentral:rRNA from 1 species